CCUACGGGAGGCUGCAGUGAGGAAUAUUGGUCAAUGGACGAGAGUCUGAACCAGCCAAGUAGCGUGAAGGAUGACUGUCCUAUGGGUUGUAAACUUCUUUUAUAUGGGAAUAAAAUGUUCCACGUGUGGGAUUUUGUAUGUACCAUAUGAAUAAGGAUCGGCUAACUCCGUGCCAGCAGCCGCGGUAAUACGGAGGAUCCGAGCGUUAUCCGGAUUUAUUGGGUUUAAAGGGUGCGUAGGUGGUUUGUUAAGUCAGUUGUGAAAGUUUGGGGCACAACCGGAGGAUUGCAGUUGAAACUGGCAGUCUCGAGUACGGUAGAGGUAGGCGGAAUGCGUGGUGUAGCGGUGAAAUGCUUAGAUAUCGCGAAGAACUCCGAUUGCGAAGGCAGCACACUGGACUCCAACUGACGCUGAGGCACGAAAGUGUGGGUAUCGAACAGGAUUAGAUACCCCGGUAGUC
rnacentral:rRNA from 1 species